rnacentral:rRNA from 1 species
UACGGAGGAUGCAAGCGUUAUCCGGAUUUAUUGGGUUUAAAGGGUGCGCAGGCGGCGCGUUAAGUCAGCGGUGAAAUCUCCCGGCUCAACCGGGGGACUGCCGUUGAUACUGGCGUGCUAGAGUACGGACGGCGCCGGCGGAAUGUGUCAUGUAGCGGUGAAAUGCUUAGAUAUGCCACAGAACACCGAUCGCGAAGGCAGCUGGCGAGGCCGGAACUGACGCUCAGGCACGAAAGCCGGGGGAGCGAAC